rnacentral:rRNA from 1 species
AUUGAACGCUGGCGGCAGGCCUAACACAUGCAAGUCGAGCGGAUGAAGGGAGCUUGCUCCUGGAUUCAGCGGCGGACGGGUGAGUAAUGCCUAGGAAUCUGCCUGGUAGUGGGGGAUAACGUCCGGAAACGGGCGCUAAUACCGCAUACGUCCUGAGGGAGAAAGUGGGGGAUCUUCGGACCUCACGCUAUCAGAUGAGCCUAGGUCGGAUUAGCUAGUUGGUGGGGUAAAGGCCUACCAAGGCGACGAUCCGUAACUGGUCUGAGAGGAUGAUCAGGCACACUGGAACUGAGACACGGACCAGACUCCUACGGGAGGCAGCAGUGGGGAAUAUUGGACAAUGGGCGAAAGCCUGAUCCAGCCAUGCCGCGUGUGUGAAGAAGGUCUUCGGAUUGUAAAGCACUUUAAGUUGGGAGGAAGGGCAGUAAGUUAAGACCUUGCUGUUUUGACGUUACCAGCAGAAUAAGCACCGGCUAACUUCGUG